rnacentral:rRNA from 1 species
GCCAAACAGCUAGCUUAGCCAUCAAUAUUAACCCAACAAUGUUUAUAACAAAACAUAGCCUAACACCAAAAACUAAACCAUUUUUUUACCUGAGUAUGGGAGACAGAAAAGGUUCGACCAAUGAGCAAUAGAAAAAGUACCGCAAGGGAAAGCUGAAAGAGAAGUGAAACAACCCAUAUAAGCAAUAAAAAACAAAGACUAAACCUUGUACCUUUUGCAUCAUGAUUUAGCCAGUACCCUCAAGCAAAGAGAUCUUUAGUUUGAUACCCCGAAACCAGGUGAGCUACCCCGAGACAGCCUAUAUAACUUAGGGCUAACCCGUCUCUGUGGCAAAAGAGUGGGAAGAGCUCCGGGUAGAAGUGACAGACCUACCGAACCUGGUGAUAGCUGGUUGCCUGAGAAGUGGAUAGAAGUUCAGCCCCGCAUACCCCAAACCAAAACAUUCUUCUUAAGAUUUACUUAAGAGAUACAUACGGGAGUUAGUUAAAGGGGGUACAGCCCCUCUAACAAAGGAUACAACCUUCGCAGGAGAAUAAAGAUCACAAUAUUCAAAACACCCUGUUCUAGUGGGCCUAAAAGCAGCCACCUAUAUAGAAAGCGUUAAAGCUCAGACAGAAGAAAGUUUAUUAUACUGAUAAAAAAUCUUAUUUCCCUAAAAAUAUCAGGCUAGUCCAUGCCAACAUGGAAGAAAUUAUGCUAAAAUGAGUAACAAGAAGACACGUUCUUCUCCAAGCACAAGUGUAAAUCAGAUCGGACAGACCACUGAAAAUUAACGAACCCAAACAAAGAGGGCAGUGUGGACAAUAAAAAAACCAGGAAAACCCCACAAUUAAACCAAUCGUUAACCCCACACUGGAGUGCUAUAUUUAAAGGAAAGACUAAAAGAAAGGGAAGGAACUCGGCAAACCCAAGCCUCGCCUGUUUACCAAAAACAUCGCCUCCUGCAACUAUUAAGUAUAGGAGGUCCAGCCUGCCCAGUGACUACGGGUUCAACGGCCGCGGUAUUUUGACCGUGCAAAGGUAGCGCAAUCACUUGUCUUUUAAAUAGAGACCUGUAUGAAUGGCUAAACGAGGGCUUAACUGUCUCCCCCUUCUGGUCAGUGAAAUUGAUCUAUCCGUGCAGAAGCGGGUAUAAGUAUACAAGACGAGAAGACCCUUUGGAGCUUAAGGUACAAAAUUCAACCACGUUAAACAACUCAACAAAAAGCAAGAACUUAGUGGAAUAUGAAUUUUUACCUUCGGUUGGGGCGACCGCGGAGGAAAAACCAGCCUCCGAGUGGAAUGGGCCAAACCCCUAAAACUAAGAGAAACAUCUCUAAGCCACAGAACAUCUGACCAAAAAUGAUCCGGCCUUAUAGCCGAUCAACGAACCAAGUUACCCUAGGGAUAACAGCGCAAUCCUCUCCCAGAGUCCAUAUCGACGAGGGGGUUUACGACCUCGAUGUUGGAUCAGGACAUCCUAAUGGUGCAGCCGCUAUUAAGGGUUCGUUUGUUCAACGAUUAAAGUCCUACGUGAUCUGAGUUCAGACCGGAGCAAUCCAGGUCAGUUUCUAUCUGUAACGCUACUUUUCCUAGUACGAAAGGAUCGGAAAAGAGGGGCCCAUGCUUAAAGCACGCCCCACCCCUAAUUAAUGAAGACAAAUAAAUUAAGUAAAGGGAGGGCCAAAACCCCUGCCGCCUAAAAUAAAGACAU